CCUGCGGAGAGGGGGGAAAGUUAGGGACCCACGCGGGUCAGGGCUGGGCAGAGCCCAGGACCCUACACAGUGGGGGGACGGACGGCUCCCUGGGGUGAGGGUCAAGGGGGCACACACCCCCCCCAUGGUACUGCGACUCCACCAGGGCUGGGAGGGCUAAGCUGGACAGGCCUUCGGGCUCGCUUCUGGUGAGAAGCACUUUGUGCCUUGUCCCUCACAGCCCCCAAGCCAGGGAGUACCGUUGCUUGCCUUACAGAUGAAGAAACCGAGGCUCAGAGGGAAGCCCUGGCUUGCCCAGACUGGCAUCCGUGGGCAGCAGACCGGGAAUUGCAACCAGGACCCUCCAGCGUCCAAGCCUAGGUGCUACCAUUCUACCGGCCUGCUGCCCUCCACCAUGGUGAUGGAGCUGGUGGGGACCAGGGCAUGGGAACCCCUGAGGAGAAGGCAGGCUCCCAGAGAGUGGGGUCUGGCCCGCCCAAGACGCUCAGUACACAUUUGGUGCGUGGCCGCGUGGCCGAACAGACGGAUGACUGAGCCAAGCAGAGGCCAGGUUCUGCAGAGGCACGUCUCAAAGGUUAAUGGAUCAACUCCGUCAGACUCCCAAAUGCCUGCGGAAAACCCAAAUUCCGAGACUGCGCACCUCUGGACCUACUGGGUCCGAACGUGAACGAGCCGCGUGAGACUCUGAAUCUUUAACGAGUCCCCUGAUGCCCACAAAACGGUUAGAACUGCUGGUCCCGGCUUGUCCUGCCCCAAGCACUACUGUCUCCAGCAGAGGAAGUGGACUGCCACAGAGGAAGGGUGCAGUAGACGAUCCCCUAAUGUUGAACGUUACUGGAACUCGAGGAAUCCCCCACACCCUAGGGGGACUGCAGGCCCUAGGGUUGGUCUGUAGACCCUCCCCAGCUCAUAACUCCAGUUCUCAAAAGAGCCCUGCAGGAUGACGAUGGGGAGGCUGUCUGCAACCUCAGACUCAGUGGGACUGCCAGACACCUGGUGUCAUUUCCCUUGAUUUCUUUUGGAAUCUCGUUAAAAUCCCAUUUUUCUGACA